AGAAUGUGCCUUCGGGAACCGUGAGACAGGUGCUGCAUGGCUGUCGUCAGCUCGUGUUGUGAAAUGUUGGGUUAAGUCCCGCAACGAGCGCAACCCUUAUCCUUUGUUGCCAGCGGUCCGGCCGGGAACUCAAAGGAGACUGCCAGUGAUAAACUGGAGGAAGGUGGGGAUGACGUCAAGUCAUCAUGGCCCUUACGACCAGGGCUACACACGUGCUACAAUGGCGCAUACAAAGAGAAGCGACCUCGCGAGAGCAAGCGGACCUCAUAAAGUGCGUCGUAGUCCGGACUGGAGUCUGCAACUCGACUCCAUGAAGUCGGAAUCGCUAGUAAUCGUGGAUCAGAAUGCCACGGUGAAUACGUUCCCGGGCCUUGUACACACCGCCCGUCACACCAUGGGAGUGGGUUGCAAAAGAAGUAGGUAGCUUAACCUUCGGGAGGGCGCUUACCACUUUGUGAUUCAUGACUGGGGUGAAGUCGUAACAAGGUAACCGUAGGGGAACCUGCGGUUGGA
rnacentral:rRNA from 1 species